rnacentral:rRNA from 1 species
AGUGAACGCUGGCGGUAGGCCUAACACAUGCAAGUCGAACGGCAGCACAGUAAGAGCUUGCUCUUACGGGUGGCGAGUGGCGGACGGGUGAGGAAUACAUCGGAAUCUACUUUUUCGUGGGGGAUAACGUAGGGAAACUUACGCCAAUACCGCAUACGACCUACGGGUGAAAGCAGGGGAUCUUCGGACCUUGCGCGAUUGAAUGAGCCGAUGUCGGAUUAGCUAGUUGGCGGGGUAAGGGCCCACCAAGGCGACGAUCCGUAGCUGGUCUGAGAGGAUGAUCAGCCACGCUGGAACUGAGACACGGUCCAGACUCCUACGGGAGGCAGCAGUGGGGAAUAUUGGACAAUGGGCGCAAGCCUGAUCCAGCCAUACCGCGUGGGUGAAGAAGGCCUUCGGGUUGUAAAGCCCUUUUGUUGGGAAAGAAAAGCAGCAGGUUAAUACCCCGCUGUUCUGACGGUACCCAAAGAAUAAGCACCGGCUAACUUCGUG